rnacentral:rRNA from 1 species
UAAAGUAGUAAUAGAUAUGGUCUUGAAACUUAAAGAAUUUGGCGGUAUUUUAAUCUUUUUAGAGGAACCUGUCCUAUAAUCGAUAAUCCACGUUUAAUUUUACUAACUUAUUUGUAUAUCGUUGUCGAAAGAAUAAAUUUUCUAAAAUUAAUAUUUUAUUAGAUGUCAAAUCAAGGUGCAGUUAAUAAUUUAGUAGAGAUGGGUUACAAUAAAAUUAUUUAGAAUUUAAAUGAAAGUGGAUUUAAAAGUAAAUUAAUUUUAAUAAA